rnacentral:rRNA from 1 species
AUUGAACGCUGGCGGCAUGCCUUACACAUGCAAGUCGAACGGUAACAGGUUAAGCUGACGAGUGGCGAACGGGUGAGUAAUGUAUCGGAACGUGCCCAGUCGUGGGGGAUAACUGCUCGAAAGAGCAGCUAAUACCGCAUACGACCGGAGGGUGAAAGCGGGGGAUCGCAAGACCUCGCGCGAUUGGAGCGGCCGAUAUCAGAUUAGUUAGUUGGGGGGGUAAAGGCCCACCACGCCAACGAUCUGUAGCUGGUCUGAGAGGACGACCAGCCCCACUGGGACGGAGACACGGCCCAGGCUCCUACGGGAGGCAGCAGUGGGGAAUUUUGGACAAUGGGCGCAAGCCUGAUCCAGCCAUGCCGCGUGCGGGAAGAAGGCCUUCGGGUUGUAAACCGCUUUUGUCAGGGAAGAAACGGCUUUCUCUAAUACAGAGAGCUAAUGACGGUACCUGAAGAAUAAGCACCGGCUAACUACGUGCCAGCCGCCGCCGUAAAAC